AGACCGUCGUGAGACAGGUUAGUUUUAC
rnacentral:ncRNA from 7 species